UCCGAAUUGGUGUAGCGACUAACAUUUGACGCUCUCAUCCGCCUUCUUGCCAACCUUACCUAAGGUUAAGAAGUGGUAUUGGUGUGUCAAGCCCGGGGUUCGAUUCCCCGAUUCGGAG